rnacentral:rRNA from 1 species
GAUCAUGGCUCAGGAUGAACGCUAGCGGCAGGCUUAACACAUGCAAGUCGAGGGGCAGCAUAAUGGAUAGCAAUAUCUAUGGUGGCGACCGGCGCACGGGUGCGUAACGCGUAUGCAACCUACCUUUAACAGGGGGAUAACACUGAGAAAUUGGUACUAAUACCCCAUAAUAUCAUAGAAGGCAUCUUUUAUGGUUGAAAAUUCCGAUGGUUAGAGAUGGGCAUGCGUGUA